rnacentral:misc_RNA from 1 species
GCGCACGUGACCGGAGGCGCAACCGUCCACGCAUCCUCCUCCGCAUUCCUUUCUGCGUGCUUCAUACAUUCGGCAAAGUAUGCUCCUCUCCCGUCACCCCGACCUGCUCAUGUCGCGUGCCGCUUCCAUCCCAUCGGCCGCGGCGAGGUGGUGCUUGGCGCUUGCGCUGCCCUUGCCCACAGCGUCGUCGUUGUCCCUGCGCAGCGCUGCUACUGUUGUCGAGUCGCAUCAGGACGACAGGCCGAGACUCGCACCCGUGGCGGUGCUGUCGGCCAUUGCAUUGACCAACUCGCGCCGCCUCAGCGCCGCGCCACACUCGUUGCCCUUUCUCUACCGUCGACCCUCUGGCUUGCGGGCGCGCUGUAACAGCGGCAACGGGUGCAGGUCCAUUUUGUUAGCACCACCAUCGCCAGCGUCUGCCGGUGCGGCUGCCGCAUCCGUUAGCGUCACAACCCCGACGCCGUCCGCGUCAGCACCUGCACGGCGAGAGCGCCACGUCUGCCCCGAGUGUGGCAAACGCUUCCUGUGUGAGCCAAACCUUGCCCGCCAUCGUGCCACUCGCCACGGUGUGCAAGUCGCGUCUGCGAGCGAGGUGGCUCGAGCUCAGAUCGCCGCGCGCAACGCGCGGCUACAGCAGGAGCUUGCCCGCGUGCAGGCACGCGUGAGGCAGCUGCGCGAGGGCAGCGGCACCGCUGCCACAGCGGAGCUCGCCGUCGAUGCGGCCAGCGCCUACCCCAGCGCGGUGCUGACCGGGCGCUUGAUGGAGAUCGACGAGGCGGUAGAGCGGGCGUGGCGGCACAGCGGACGGGGGCUCGGCACCGGCGUAUCAUUUGUGAGCUGCGUCGGCACCGUGCGCGGUCCAGUGGAAGUCGGGACCCUGCGCGGGGCCACCCCUGCUUCCGCAUCUGAUAGUCCUGCUGCGGGGCCGCGCGUCCUGCAGUUUGUGCUAGAGGCGCACGGGUACCGGGAGCGCCGCCCUGGUCAGCUGAAGAUGUACCGGUCGCACCUCCUGGUCCGCUACGUCGCCUGGCAGCCGUACCACCGCUACGGCGAUGACGAUGGCGCGGGCAGCGCGGCAGCACCCCCUCCUCCCGCCACCGCGCCGCUCCUCUUCAAGGUGCAGGAGGGCGACCUCCUGCGCGUGCAGGGGCACUACGCGCUGCACAGCAGCUACGACAUGAUAUCGAAGCAGUCCGUGGAGAACGUCGUCUUGGAGGCGGACGCGGUCGGGAUGCUGCGGCCGGCACCCGCGAAGGAGGCUUCAAAAGCGCAGAGCGAGAGAGACGGCAGUCCGACGCAGCAGCCGUUUUUAUCGGCGCCACCGCCCUCGCGGUACGCUACUACGCCGACGGAUGAAGACCUCAUCAGCCGUGCCCAUGAUCGCUGCCCUGGCCAAGACUCAGCGAUGUCUGCAGCACCGCCUGCCGCCGCCGCGGCUGUGGCGUCUGCAGACGUGUUGUCGCCGAAACAGCGGCAGCCGAUACUGUCGGCCCGAAAGAAGACGACGACGAAGAGGUCAACGACGUCACCGCUCAAACCGCAAGCGCGGUAGUCACGCACGCCCGUGCCGGAGAGGGAAAGGCGGUGGUGGCGACGAUGAUAUGUGGUGCGCGGCCGGCAUCGUAAGAGAGGUCCUGUCGGCACGUCUUGCUCUUCUUCUUGCUGAAUGGCGCAAUGAGUAACGCACCUGUAC